GCCCUUCAGCAGCCGCGGUAAUACAGAGGGUGCAAGCGUUAAUCGGAUUUACUGGGCGUAAAGCGCGCGUAGGCGGCCAAUUAAGUCAAAUGUGAAAUCCCCGAGCUUAACUUGGGAAUUGCAUUCGAUACUGGUUGGCUAGAGUGUGGGAGAGGAUGGUAGAAUUCCAGGUGUAGCGGUGAAAUGCGUAGAGAUCUGGAGGAAUACCGAUGGCGAAGGCAGCCAUCUGGCCUAACACUGACGCUGAGGUGCGAAAGCAUGGGGAGCAAACAGGAUUAGAUACCCUGGUAGUCCAUGCCGUAAACGAUGUCUACUAGCCGUUGGGGCCUUUGAGGCUUUAGUGGCGCAGCUAACGCGAUAAGUAGACCGCCUGGGGAGUACGGUCGCAAGACUAAAACUCAAAGGAAUUGACGGAAGGGC
rnacentral:rRNA from 1 species